rnacentral:lncRNA from 1 species
GACCGGGGGCGGGGGACAGAGCGAAGUCACUUGGGGAGGGGGCCUGGCAGGGGCGCGGCGGAGGUCGAGGGGGCGAGGGCACUCGGGGAGGGGGCGCGGCCGGGGGCGGGGCCAGGGGCGGGGUCGGGGAGGGCAGAGGGCGCUCGGGGAGGGGGCGCGGCCGGGAGCUGGGGGCGGGGGACCGGCAGGACCUGCGGAGUGGGCGCGGCCGGAGGCCAGGGUCGGACCGGAGCUGCGGAGGGGGUGCGGCCGGGGCGGGGGGCGGACUGGACCUGCGGAGGGGGUGCGACCGGGGCAGGGAGGCGAGGGCACUCGAGGAGGGGGCGCGGCUUGAGAGUGGAACCUGGGCCUGGCCGGUGGCGAGACCCGGGGUACAGAACCCAGACGGGACAGGAGGGCAGGGGCUGAUCGUCCGAGAGCGGACAACCCUCCAGCCUUUCCGCGGAGGAGCGCAGUAGCGGGCAGCCGUGGGCCCUCGGGUUCUGCGGAGAUGUGGCGCCUGAAUGCUGAGCCUCGUCAAGAGCCCUCAUCAAAAAAAUGUUAACAUCUGCAACACCCCCGGCUAACAAGAGUGUGCAAUGAACAUGAAAUGUCCAGCUUUAAGCUCAAACCCCCUCACCGUGAAGGGCAAGUCUGCAGUGUGGACACUGCCCUGUUCGGAUGGUCACUGCUGCACAGAACCAGCCAUGGUCCCAGAGAGCUGGGAAGAUGCUCAUGUUCCUGCUUCUCGCUGGAGACCUGAGGAUUCGCCAGUGAAUCAAUCAGCUAAGGGAACAGAGGACUCCAGUGAAAACUCAGUGACUGGUCAUGGCAGCUCUACCAGCCAGGUUCCAGAGGGGGAGGUCCUGGAGCACAUCCCCCGGCUCACUCGUGAAGGACAUGUGGCCUAG